rnacentral:lncRNA from 1 species
AACACCUCUUAUUGCCUUUCUGUUCACUCCCUGUUUUCCAGCCAAAUUGGGGAACAAAAGCAAGUGGCCACUCCAUUUCUUAAACCAACCCAAGACUUGGAUUAAAGCAACUCUGAUCACUGUACGCAAAGCAAUAAGGCAUUAUAAAUUUUGGAAUUGUCAAAGGAGCUUGAAGCAGCUGGAAAUUUACCAAGUAUCUGUAAACUUUUAAAGCUUAUGUCAUCGAAGAAAAUACACUUCAAAUUUCAAAAUGGUCUUUGUGCUUUACUAAUAGUACUAAAUACAGUGUUACUAGAUGC